UGCCUCCACUGUUUAUCCUCACACACAUAAAAGUUCAUGGACAAUAGACGGAUCUCUCCGUGACGGGAGAAAAUCAGACUCAAAACAACAAGAAGAAAACCUGAAAGUGGAGUUGCUUAGAGUAAAAGAGGAGAAACAAAAAAUGUUGGAUGAAAUACAGAGACUGGAAACAGCGCAGCUACAACAGCAAAUGGAAGUAAAAGCAACACAGAUUGCAGAGGAAAGAGAGCACUUAAUGAAGCAAGAGAUAAGAAAUCUAAGGGAGGAACUUAAUGUGCAAACUCAAAAAAUGGCAGAAAACAAUCAUCUUGUAUUGAACCUUCAAGAACAGCUUGUCAAAUUGCAGUCUGAUCAGUUGCGGCAAGAUGCAAGAGAAAAACGAACUGCAACCGGAACUCAGCAAAAAAAUUCAUCCAUCGGUCAGAGCAGAGUUUGUGUUGUCAGUUGAAGUGGAACAUUCCAAGGAUGCAAAUUUCAUGAAAACUUAAUCAAAAAUUGUUUUGGGGAAAUGUAUUGUUUAAGAUUUUUUUGGGGGGGGGGGGUGGGUUGUGUUUCUGUAGUUUUGGGUUUUUAUUUCCUCUUUUCUGUUUGCUUGAGGUUACAACAUUAUUCUGUUCUGUAGCACAUCUUGAAUCAGUAACAAUAAAAAAGAGCUGCACAUUUAUUCUACUGAAGCCUGUUCCAUAUGCCAUGGUACUGCAAUACCAAACUCAAUUAAUUUGACUUUUUCAAUCCUGCUCAACGAUACCACCGUUUUCCAACAGUUUGGCUCGGCACAUUGAGUAUAGCAUGACACGAUCCUUUGACUCAAUGUGCUAUCGUCAAUCAGUGGUACAGCACUGCUAUUUGCAGUGGCAUAACCAGCAGCCCCCCCCCCCCCCUUUCCAAUAUUUUGCAAAGGGCACCCUUUUGUACACAAGUGCCUUUUUUUCACCGGUGUUUACUUGUUCAGGUACCUUGCUUGGGGUAGAACUUGGCCUUCCUUCAUAGCAGCGUCCGGUCGUCUCCGCCGUACCUUCAGUGACGAUUGCAGACCACCACUCCCCACUGUGUCAAUGUGGCACUCUGCCGAGAUUUGGCAUUCUAAACCUUAUAUACUACACUAUUAACACAA